rnacentral:lncRNA from 1 species
CAGGAAGCUCACUUCUGAGCACCUAUCUCUGAGUCACUGACUCGUGUUCUUCCUGAUUUCCAUUUAAAACAACCUUGUAAAUGGACUUUCUUCUCUCCAGCCUCUCACCUUGCAACCUGCCUCACAGACUUCCUCAAAGAUGUGAAGUACCCGCCACACACCAGGAAGACACAACGGGGAAGAAAACAGCCAAAGUCCCUGAUCUCAGACACAUAUGAUCACAAGUACAUAUGCAAUUGGCCCAUUGUAUCUGCAGGCUCUUCGUCAGGGGAUGCAACCAAACUCAGGUUAAA